ensembl:snoRNA SCARNA18 small Cajal body-specific RNA 18
UUGCAUGUGGAAAUGUCUGCUUCUCAUUCCUUGGGAGCAGGAAUAUAUUCAUAACAUGCUACAUUAACAAAGGAGUUCUCAGGGCUGCCAACCUUCUAGUAAAGGUUGAGUGGUAGUAUAUUUCUCCAACAUAA